rnacentral:lncRNA from 1 species
GAAAAUUACCUUGCCGGAGAAGGGAGCUUGAGUUCAUUGGUAAAAAUGGAUGACUUCGCAGAUAAAAAGGUGUGUUGUAACAUUGACUGAUAAAACUGAGGAGAUCAACAAUACAAUGAAAACAUGCGCACUCAAAUUUAGGGGAUUGCACAUGCUCCUCAAAUACAUUAGUACAUUACUGCUCACACGAUUACUUCUAGCAACUGUAUUUCCUUCAAUGAAUAUAUGACAUUGACAUCCAAAAUUUACAAUACCAGCUCAUGUUCUCAGAUCGGGCCGACAAAUGUUUGCAUAUAGAAGAUACAUCAGCUUGCUACUAUUUUACAAGUAUAAGAUACAUUUUGAAUGCCAUUGCAGGAAUUACAAAUGACACUGCACACCGGUUGGUAGUUGAUGUGAUGCAUAUGAUCCCCAAAACUAGCCAAGCUAUAAUCAAAGGCAUGCGGCCAGAUUUCAUAUUAGCAAUCCUCUGCCCUAGCAAACCCAAACUGUUCUCCCACCAACAAGAACCAGUAAUAAAGACGAAAGAGUCCACAAAUAGUAGCUUCCAGAUUCUACGACGAUGAAGAUGGAGGUGGUGGCGUAGACAAAAAAGCGUGAUAAGUUGAAGAUGCAAGUUGAGCCAGAGCUGGAAUUGAACCACCUACACAAAAUCAAGUCAAUUUGGAAAGAUAUGAUGAGAUUCGUUGGGGUUGCAUAGUUUCCAUGUAACAACUUCUUGAAUAUCUUACUAACAGACCCCCACCACAACUAUUUACAUGAUAAUAUGUAGACCAGCUUAAAAUCUCAUAAUUUAUUACCGUAGCUGCUUGAGAAAACAUUUGCAAAGCAGGCAAUAAUGCUUCAGCGUAUAUAAAUGGCUACUUAAGUUGCUGAGCCCAAUUUUGCAGACGCUAAUUGUCUAAGCGUAUGAGAUUUAUAAGUCAAAAUUUACAAUGUGUUUAGCUAAUAGACAUAAGCAGUUCACUUCGGCAGCCAUCUCACCUGCUAGCCCACCACAUCCUGAUGAGAAAAUAAUGACAGGUGGGGUCUGCAUUGAGAAAGAUGAUUUUAGAUUAAUUCAACAAUGGAAAAGCAGAAAGAAAAUAGCAUCAGGGAAAAAGAUUAUUAGACAAACAUCUUGAUAAGUAACACAAAAUCAAAAUGAACAAAUGAGGGCUGGUGAUUUUGUAACAGUAUAAAUGCUAUAGAAUUCAAUAACCAUAACCCACAGCGUGCUGCAGACACAUAUUGAACACUAAUCUGUUUUCACUAAAAAAUAAAAAGUGUGUUUCUGUCCAUAUUUGACACUCAUUUUCGCAUACUCAUUCCUCAAUUAGUUCCUCCUUCUGGUCCCAUUUCAAUGUAAAAUCGAAGAGAAGAUAAACUACUAGCAUUCAAUAUAAAUGUUCUAGGCCUUCAUCUACUGUAGGCUUGUAGCAACCUUUAAAAAUGUUGCAGAAUAUGGAUAACAUAGUUAUUAAUCGCGCAUCGCGCACGAUCGCGCAAACCUGUCCUAGGGUGAUCGCGCAUCGCGCAUCGCGAAUCGCGCGCUAUUUGAAUAUAUCGCGCAGAAAUAGAUAAAAACAUAAUAUAUAUCAUAAUCAUAGUAAAACCAUGCAUAAUAUGUCUAGUUCAGAAUAAAACUAUAUCAUAAUCAUAAUCAUAUAUCAUAAUCAUAGUAAAAUCAUAAUAAAAUAAAUCUUCU